rnacentral:rRNA from 1 species
UACGGAGGGUGCGAGCGUUGUCCGGAAUCAUUGGGCGUAAAGGGCGCGUAGGUGGCCCGGUCAGCGUGCGGUGAAAGCUCGGGGCUCAACCCCGAGUCGGCCGUGCGAACUGCUGGGCUUGAGCACUGUAGAGGCAGGCGGAAUUCCGGGUGUAGCGGUGGAAUGCGUAGAGAUCCGGAAGAACACCGGUGGCGAAGGCGGCCUGCUGGGCAGUGGCUGACACUGAGGCGCGACAGCGUGGGGAGCAAACAGG